UACGAGUGCCCCAAGCGUUAUCCGGAAUUAUUGGGCGUAAAGGGUGUGUAGGUGGUCGUGUUAGUCUUCUGUCAAAUUCUUCGGCUUAACCGGGGGUCCGCAGAGGAAACGGCACGACUCGAGGGUGCGAGGGGUCAGUGGAACUCAUGGAGUAGGGGUGAAAUCCGUUGAUAUCAUGGGGAACACCAAAAGCGAAGGCAACUGACUGGCGCAUUCCUGACACUGAGACACGAAAGCGUGGGUAACGAACUGG
rnacentral:rRNA from 1 species